rnacentral:rRNA from 1 species
GAUGAACGCUAGCGGCAGGCUUAACACAUGCAAGUCGAGGGGCAGCACGUCUUCGGAUGGUGGCGACCGGCGCACGGGUGCGUAACGCGUAUAGAACCUACCUUUUACAGAGGGAUAGCCCAGAGAAAUUUGGAUUAAUACCUCAUAGUAUUAUAAAGUGGCAUCAUUUAAUAAUUAAAACUUCGGUGGUAAAAGAUGGCUAUGCGUUCUAUUAGCUAGUAGGUAAGGUAACGGCUUACCUAGGCAACGAUAGAUAGGGGUCCUGAGAGGGAGAUCCCCCACACUGGUACUGAGACACGGACCAGACUCCUACGGGAGGCAGCAGUGAGGAAUAUUGGACAAUGGUCGAAAGACU